rnacentral:tRNA from 1 species
AAAUUUAGGUUAAAUAGACCAAGAGCCUUCAAAGCUCUAAGAAAGUAUAUCAUUACUUAAUUUCUG